AACGAACGCUGGCGGCAUGCAUAACACAUGCAAGUCGAACGAGAUCUUCGGGUCUAGUGGCGCACGGGUGCGUAACGCGUGGGAAUCUGCCCUUUGGUUCGGAAUAACAGUUGGAAACGACUGCUAAUACCGGAUGAUGACGAAAGUCCAAAGAUUUAUCGCUAGAGGAUGAGCCCGCGUAGGAUUAGCUAGUUGGUGUGGUAAAGGCGCACCAAGGCGACGAUCCUUAGCUGGUCUGAGAGGAUGAUCAGCCACACUGGGACUGAGACACGGCCCGGUCUCGUGCGGGAGGCAGCAGUGGGGAAUAUUGGACAAGGGGCGAAAGACUGAUCCAGCAAUGCCGCGUGAGUGAUGAAGGCCUUAGGGUUGUAAAGCUCUUUUACCCGGGAUGAUAAUGACAGUACCGGGAGAAUAAGCUCCGGCUAACUCCGUGCCAGCCGCCGCGGUAA
rnacentral:rRNA from 1 species